rnacentral:rRNA from 1 species
UAAGGGCGCACGGUGGAUGCCUUGGCACUAGAAGCCGAUGAAGGACGUUACUAACGACGAUAUGCUUUGGGGAGCUGUAAGUAAGCUUUGAUCCAGAGAUUUCCGAAUGGGGAAACCCAGCAUGAGUUAUGUCAUGUUAUCGAUAUGUGAAUACAUAGCAUAUCAGAAGGCACACCCGGAGAACUGAAACAUCUUAGUACCCGGAGGAAGAGAAAGAAAAUUCGAUUCCCUUAGUAGCGGCGAGCGAAACGGGAAGAGCCCAAACCAACAAGCUUGCUUGUUGGGGUUGUAGGACACUCUAUACGGAGUUACAAAGGACGACAUUAGACGAAUCAUCUGGAAAGAUGAAUCAAAGAAGGUAAUAAUCCUGUAGUCGAAAAUGUUGUCUCUCUUGAGUGGAUCCUGAGUACGACGGAGCACGUGAAAUUCCGUCGGAAUCUGGGAGGACCAUCUCCUAAGGCUAAAUACUCUCUAGUGACCGAUAGUGAACCAGUACCGUGAGGGAAAGGUGAAAAGCACCCCGGAAGGGGAGUGAAAUAGAACCUGAAACCGUGUGCUUACAAGUAGUCAG